CAUCUUUGACUGCUUAGUCUGCAAACCUCUUCGAAGAAAAAUACUUUCACAAAUCCAUGAGAACAAGACCAGGAAUUCCAGCUUUGAAUUCUGCUGUAAUGAGUGCUUGUGAAAAACAGAACACACCAAAAGAAGGACUCAGGGCAAAUGCAGUCAAACUCAAGGAUUGCAGCAUACACCUGGCACACCAGAAGCUGGAAAGUGACUGUUUGAACCUCAUUCUCAAAUAAAUGAGAGAAAGAGCACUCAACCGUCUAUCCGAGGAAAUCUGAAUGGUGUGUUCUCAAUGGUUUUUCCUCAGAGUCUCUUCAUGAAGAUUAUAAAGAUGUAUUGUGGUGAAGAAUGGAAAAUUUUAAAUAUUUUGGUUGGAAAUUCCAGCUCUUUUCAGUCUGUCCAAAGGGGUAUCUUCAUGUUCUGAUGCACUAAUAGUACCAUCUCAAACUUUAGAAAAAAAUAAAUAAAAAAAUCACACUCUGA